rnacentral:rRNA from 1 species
GAUGAACGCUGGCGGCGUGCCUAAUACAUGCAAGUCGAGCGAACAGACGAGGAGCUUGCUUCUCUGACGUUAGCGGCGGACGGGUGAGUAACACGUGGAUAACCUACCUAUAAGACUGGGAUAACUUCGGGAAACCGGAGCUAAUACCGGAUAAUAUAUUGAACCGCAUGGUUCAAUAGUGAAAGACGGUUUUGCUGUCACUUAUAGAUGGAUCCGCGCCGCAUUAGCUAGUUGGUAGGGUAACGGCUUACCAAGGCAACGAUGCGUAGCCGACCUGAGAGGGUGAUCGGCCACACUGGAACUGAGACACGGUCCAGACUCCUACGGGAGGCAGCAGUAGGGAAUCUUCCGCAAUGGGCGAAAGCCUGACGGAGCAACGCCGCGUGAGUGAUGAAGGUCUUCGGAUCGUAAAACUCUGUUACUAGGGAAGAACAAAUGUGUAAGUAACUAUGCACGUCUUGACGGUACCUAAUCAGAAAGCCACGGCUAACUACGUG